AGUUCGACCCACUCCUCCUUGAUAACUUAUCCUUCUUCCUGAUCGAUCGGCUGCGCUUAGAUUUACACACAUAGUAUGUCAUUGUUCCGAGAACACCGGCCAUGAUCACUCCACCUAUCAUCGUCACGAGUAUCGCUGCCCACUUGAAAUGCCGACCCACCACAAUAUAAGACGAAGCGAUAAAGGCAACAGUCGUGCACACAGAUGCCAGCCACAUCAACUUGUUGAUCACCUCG
rnacentral:misc_RNA from 1 species